CUCGCCUGGAGGGACGUGGGAGCCCGGGCGCCCCGGGGUCCCCCGGUCGCACUGAGGCCUGCAGGUGGAAGGCGGGCCAGGAGAGGGGAGAGACUGAGCCAGGGUCGUCGGGGUCCCCGGCGCCCAGAUCCGGCCCCUUCAUUCUGCUGGAGGAAAUCCUCCGCCGGCCCUCCAGCCUUUCACCCCUUUGCUCUGGGUGCCCAGGCCCCUUGUCUCUCCCUGACUCCCAGCCUUCUGCCCACUUCUCUUCCAGCUCUCCCAGAGCCCUCCAGGUGCGGACUCUCCUUCAAAAGAAUUGACUCCCUUCUUGGAGUCAUUUCCCUGUGCUCUAGAGGAGAAAGUCCUGGGCUGGCAAUCAGAGGUCCUGGGUUCUUGCUGUGUGAUCUUGGGCAAGUCCCUUUCCUUCUCUGGGCCUCGUUUUUCACCUCUGUACAGGUCGGUGAGGUGGCUCCAGGCCCCUCAGCUCUGACAUCUUGGAGUCUAUGAACCAACUCUCGUGUUGCACCGUUCUAGGCCGGGGGCAUGGCGGGAGGGAGGCCGGGAGGUAAGAGCUGAUUGUCCCUUGUCCCUCCGGGACCAAGGAGAAGCUACCUCUGCUCCUGGGUCUGGAAGGCUGGGAAGCUUGCAGAAGGAGAACCUGGGGAGAGGCCCUACGUGAGGUCCCCGCACUCUGGGAGAGUUGCCACUCCUUACCGCGCCUGGCAGGACGGCUGGCCAACCUCCAUGUUUUGACCCAGAUUUCAGGAAGGGGGCAGAAACCAGCCCUUAUUCAGUAUGUGUAAGGAACCAGAAGGUGGACGUGGCCCCCAAGGUUGUUGGGGUUGGGGGGAGACUGGAGGAACUGGGGGGUUAUCAGUAAAUGGGCCCGGAAGGGCAGUGAGUGACUAACGGUGACCCAGCAGCAGGAAUUCUGGAAGGAAAGAGGGUGGGUGAGGAGUAGGUACUUGAAAGGAGUCUCCUGAUACACACACACACACACACACACACACACGCACGCACGCACAUGCACACACCAGCCCCUCUUCUGAUAAAAGGAGGCCCUGUCUCUGGGGAAGUGGAGAGGUGAGGCCAGUUAGAUAGCUGGGCAGCUGGAGAAGUUCAGGGCUAUAGAGCCUCGCCCAAGCCAUCUCUCUCUCCUCCCUCUUAGAGAGUGGGAGCUUGAGAGGAAAGGGGCAGAACUUGGGGAGGCAGCUAGGGACCCAGCAAAACUGCCAUAGAUAAGCAUGGUGAGGGGAUCCAGUGGACAGCGGAGAUAGGGCUUGACUGCCGACCUGUCCCAAAACUGCUGAGUUGUCACUGACAUGGGACAUAGGUGGACCAUGGGGUGUGGGUGGUCAUCCCAGCUGGGAAGACUUUGUGGCCCUUCCUUACUCAGUAGGCCCAAGCUAGGUUCUCACAUUCAGGUAGAGGCAGGUGGGUUUGUGUGUGGAGAGAAGGAAGCUGGUGGGGCCAGAAUACCUCCUGCCUCCCCACACCUAAACUCCAGGGGAAAUUUUGUCAAAUGCUUUCUUUUCCUGGGAAAUCCCAGAGUAGCCAGACCCCUCAGGGGGCGGUGGUCUCAUCUUCCCCUCUAACCUUGCACUGAAGCCCUUUGUACUUGAGAGUGCCCCUCUGGCCAGGACAAGAGUCUCCUAACCUUCCUGCGCAAUGCCGACUGUUUUAUGGUAGCUGGAACCCUGGGGAGAGGCUUCCCUAUUCCUGGGACCUCUCCAGCAGCUGAGGCUGUGGCUAGGACAUCAGUGAGAGACACAACGGGUAGGGCUGAGCUUUUAUAGCCUCUGGCUGCAGCAUAAACUCUUUUAUUACUCUACCCUGUGGGCCAGGAGAGGGGAGUGCCCCAGUGGCAGUGGGGUGUGGAACUGGGGUCUGGAGCUGAGAGUUUAGUGGGGGGCUGACUGCCCAGUUGAAGAAGCCAUUUGGAGCUGAUGGCAAGGGCCCCAUUUUAAUCCUCGCAGUGGUUCAAACCUCCACCCGGGUUUGACUCUAGUCCAGAGUCUGCUUUUCAGGUUAGCUUCUGACCCAGAACCCGGCAUUUCACACCCGCCCUGGCAUCUCCUAAUUCACCAGCAAGGACUGGAAUUGGGGGCGGAAGGCGCAGAAAGGGAACCCGCUCUCUAAGGGCUCUCCAGCUCCGGGUUUCUCACUUAGCCCGGGGCGGGGCAUCAUAGCCUUUCCCCCACCCAAGUCGCUGUCUACAUUGGCCAGAGCAGCUUUUCUAUGCGGAUCCUUCUGUGGCCCUCUCAGUCCUCAAGGCCUUGUGCCCCAUAGCCUUUGGCAGAUUUACACAAGGUUCUAUGUAGACGUAACAAUUUUUCCCGUGGGAAGAAGUCUUGAACGUUGUGUUUCUUUUGUUUUGUGUACCAAACACCCCAGUCCACUUAGGAAUGGCAAGGCUUGCCAUUUUCUCACCUUUAGGAGACAGUCCAGACUGAAAUGAGAUCGAUACGGUUUAACCCUGGGCAGGGGACUUGAUCUCCGCAGGCCUUCGUUUCUUCAUCUGUAAAAUGGGGGUGAUAACGGCACCAAUCCCGUGGCUAUCAUGAGAAGUAAACAGCCUCCCCGGAUUGGUUGGUGCCCACUCACACUGGCAAGAGCCAUCUCUGCUACUCCUUCUGCCCAUUCAAAUGUUCAUCUCUUCUGGAAACACCCUCACGGAUACACCCGGCAGUAAUGUUUGACCAGCCCUCUGGGCACCCCUUUCCCCCAGUCACACCGCAGCAUUGCCGACCAGCCCCUCCGAGCAUGGAGCGGUCAUUCUUGGCCCGCCAGAAUACCCAGGGCUGCAGGGACUGCCCUUGUGCCGGAUGCCCUUGGCCCAGCCUCUCCCCACCCCCAGCCCCCUCUCCCCAGCCCCUCCCACCCUCUCUGUUUGCCUCCACUGAGAGGCAGGGUUCUAGGACUGUCUGGCUCUCCCCACCCUGCCACGCUGGACCCGAAGGCGGCGAGGCAGGAACAGUAAUCAGAGUAAUCCGCUCGCUGUAGGACACAGAGCCUGGAGCCCAGGCAAGGAUUGACGAUAGACUCCGCAGGUCGCUUGGAGCUAUCAAGCGGCCCUCCUCGGUCGCUGCAUACCCUGCCCCAAGGCUGCUGACCGUCAGGCAGACUGAGCUCUGGCUUUGAAAAAAGUGCCAUGGCUCAGUGGCUCCCAGACUUCAUGUCCAUUAGAAUCACCUGGGUAGCUUUGGAGAAUCCCGAUGCCUGGGCUGCAGCCCAGAGCAAUUAGAUCUGAUCUCUGAGGGCAACGGUAUUUUUAAAGAGGCCCCACGAUUUCCAGCAGGCAGAAGGUUCGGGAACCACUGGUAUAGCUGUUCCAGGGAAGGGAGGGGACUUGGAGGCGGGGCCCAGGUUGGACUGUUAAAUACAGGGAGAGCCCACA